AUGCACGACAUAUACGAAAUAAAUCCUCGAAUCUUUCCCACACCUCGUAUAUGGACUCAUCAUCCAAUUGUUGAAAAGUGGUGAUCUCAUUCUGCAGCUU
rnacentral:snoRNA from 1 species